UAGUAAUUGUCCUCACCUGUUCACUGUGUUUGGAGCGGGUGAACUCUGGGCCAGUUUUCUGUCGAACGGAGGAAAUAUUUAUGUGCGGAACCCGUGGAAGGACCUGUGGAGGAGAAGGGCCGCGCGCCUCACCUGCCGUUACGCACCAUUCAUCAUCCGUCAUCUAUAACCAAAUUGUUGUGGAUGAAGAAUCAGACAAAACAAGUGGAUGGUUUUCUACUGGAACAGACAUAAUAUAACCUGCAGAGGAGAUGAUGCGCCCGUCCUCUCCCAGCCUCACGCUCCCACUGGACACCAGCUCCACGGCCUCGGGGUAGGCCCGGUGCUCGGCUCCUUUGAUUCUGUCCGACAGAGUGUCCUCCGUGUCCCCGCGGAGGACGGGCACCGCCUCCUGCACGAUGAUGGCCCCCGCGUCCACCUCCUCCUGCAGGACCAGGACACAACACAGCCUUGAAGACCAGGUUCAGACGGAAGACACACAACUACUGGCCUGGCGCUGGGCGUUCACCCCCUUGAAUGAAGGCAGCAGAGAUGGAUGGAUGUUCAGCAGCUUCCCUGUGACAUGAAAGGACAGAAAACACACACUGUCACUGUCAGAGAUCAGACUGGGACAGAAAGUCAGAGCCGCUCCAACUGUCUGUCAUUUUCCACAGUCGCAUCAAACAGCAUCACAUCAUUGAUCUUUGGGGUUGGACGGACAUGUGGGCUCCUGUAAAGUCCAUGGAACCUUGAAAAUCCCAGAGUUCUACUUAAAUACUUUAUUCUAACAGCAAAAAGGAUUACAUCGAUUACAUUAUCCACAUUUAAAACUGACCCUCUCCAUAAAAAGAGCUCAUGAAAAUGCCAAUAACCCUUCUGGAAAAACUAGUCAAAAUGAUUUUUUUGGCGUUUUUUUUUUUGUGCAGGACCAAACAACCUUUAAAUAUAAUGGAAAUACUGCAUUUUAGCAAAAUACACAACAUUUCUUACCGACUCAUUCAGGUGUAAAAAUGCUAAUGUGCACCGAUCUGCUUCGACCUCAUUCCACUUGUACAACCAUAAAGGCCACGGCUUUAGUUACUGUUAGUGCUUAGAAUAUUAUAGUUUACAUAAAUACUAGGAUACUGUAUGUGAUCCUUAAAGCUACUUGGAUGUUCAGUACAAAACCUCAUCUCAACCCAGUCAAAAAGGCAGUCGGUGCAUUUUAAAGUAACAUCUGAAUCAUUUUGCUCCAAGUGAUAAACUAAAAAAAAUGUAGAAAUUUGGAGUAAAAGUUUUAGGGAUUUUUCAAGGCUCAAAUGAUUAAACAUAAGUAGAGUAAAUAGGAAAAGCUGAAAAUGAAAGAUUCUUCCAUUAGAUGAAAAAUUGCAAGUGUUGACACUUAUAUUUGCAUAGUUCCACUAAAUCCAGAUGGUCUCCUAAAACUGGAUCAGAUCUUAUUAAAUACAACUUCACUGUAGACGACUCCACCAUCUAGUAGGACAUACUGUGUUAAAUAUUUAAAAUAAUUAUUUAACAAACGCUGAAUCACUCCAAUACUUACUGUAAAUUAGCAUCUAUUCAUAUUUUGUGUUUUUAUUAUUUUAUUCUACUUGGCUCCAUUCUUGGGUUAUUUUGUGAAAUGUAUAUUCUAUUUUUCUAGUUUUUGUAAUUUUCUAUUCACUGUUAUUUUUUGUACACACAAUGACAAUAAAGUCUAUUCUAAAAUACAACUCCACAUUCUGCCUGUACUCAUCUAGUAAAUGAAUUAUUUGACGACAAAGUUGGAAUCACUAAUACAACGACUGAGCUAUGCAAACAUUUUUCUUACCGUUCCAUUUUUUGACAAAGUUUGGGGUUAGGAUCCUCAUGAAACCCGCCAGACAAACCAGCUCUACUCCGAACUCUUCCAACACGCCGUCGAUGGUACUGUCGAACUCGGCUCGGCUCCCGUACAGCUUGUGGUCCACCACCUGUUUGGGACGAACGACAGACGGUGACCACUUUGUCUCGUUGCCCGUUUGUGUUUCUGAUUGUGUUGUCGUUUACCCGUGUCGGGAUCCCAGCCAACGAGGCCCUCUUCAGGCCCUGGACGCUGGGCCUGUUGGAAAUAACCACCACGAUCUGAGCAGCGCUGAACGGGGACUUAGUCUGCUCUAUGAGGGCCUGCAGGUUGGUGCCUGGGGAGGGGGGAAAGUUGAUGUUACUUUAAAUGUUUUUGGUAGUGUACAGCUGAUUUUGAUUUGAAUGUAGGAGAAGCUGAUAUUAGCGUUUAGCUUCUGCCUAAACUUUACUCAACAUAAUUCAGUCUGUUCAUGUAAAAUUAGUUUCAUUGUUUGUAUUUUCUGUAUUACAGAUGAUGACUGAAUAAACAUAAACCUGAUGUUUG